AUGGGCAACUGCAAGAGUUCAUCUCGUGCACUCCUAGGAAAGGCCCAUGUUGUUCCGGAUCCAGAAUGGAGGAUUCGGGACUUCGGAAAGACCCAUGUUCCAGAUUUCGAAUGGAGGAUUGAUGACUUCUCAAUGCUUAAGACUGGAGCUAAGAGAGCAACAUCUGGCCCUUUUCACUGCUCUGGUUAUAACUGGGACCUGCAAGUGAGUCUAAUGCAUAAAGAAGCUGGUUCUGUAACUCCAUAUGUUGCCCUUCGUCUUGCGUCAUCCACACUAAGCUUGGUGCCAGCUCACACAGUGCAUGCGGUGUUUGAGUUGUCAAUAUGCAACCAUUCAAAAGGAAUGUACUAUGGAUGCAAAGCUAGCUACAACUUUGAUUUCAAGAAUUUCUACUCGAAGGAGCAUUGCUUGAUUCCUCUUAAGAAGCUGCUGAAAUCAUCUGCUUUUCUAGUUGAUGAUGGUUGUGUCUUUGCUGUGGAGAUAUUAAAAAUUGAUGUCUGCUCUCCUGAAAAGAAGGCUGUUGUGGUUCAGAAGAAGGCUACCACAGUUCAGAACCUCUUUGUCCAGGAGAAGGGGUUCGUCAAAGGGACAUACACCUGGAACAUGAACAAUUUCCUUGAACUGGACUUGGAUCACUGUGUCCGUUCUCCUACAUUUGAAGUUGGCGGGCAUAAAUGGUGCAUCAGCAUGUACCCGCGUGGUGACUUGUACAGCACUGAUUGCCUCAGCUUGUACUUAUCCCUGGAUGCCUCGAAUGAGCUCCAUCUCGAGUCCAAGAAGGUGGCUGUAAUGACUCUGUCCAUCCUGAACCAAAAGAAUGGGAAACACUUGACUAAAACUUCAGGUCUCUUCAUAUGUGAUGGCGGAUGGGGUUGGCCUAACUUUCUUGCUCUCAAGAAACUCAAGAAAGGCUAUGUUGUAGGGUCGAGCUGCAUUGUGAAGGCAGAUCUCACUAUCGUUGGUUUAUCCAAUGAUGGCUAG
rnacentral:rRNA from 1 species